UCGCGGCCCUUAUCAGCUUGUUGGUGGGGUAACGGCCUACCAAGGCGAUUACGGGUAGCCGGCCUGAGAGGGCGACCGGCCACACUGGGACUGAGACACGGCCCAGACUCCUGCGGGAGGCAGCAGUGGGGAAUAUUGCGCAAUGGGCGAAAGCCUGACGCAGCGACGCCGCGUGGGGGAUGACGGCCUUCGGGUUGUAAACCUCUUUUACCACUCACGCAGGCUCCGGGUUCUCCCGGGGUUGACGGUAGGUGGGGAAUAAGGACCGGCUAACUACGUGCCAGCAGCCGCGGUAAUACGUAGGGUCCGAGCGUUGUCCGGAAUUAUUGGGCGUAAAGAGCUCGUAGGCGGCGUGUCGCGUCUGCUGUGAAAGACCGGGGCUUAACCCCGGUUCUGCAGUGGAUACGGGCAUGCUAGAGGUAGGUAGGGGAGACUGGAAUUCCUGGUGUAGCGGUGAAAUGCGCAGAUAUCAGGAGGAACACCGGUGGCGAAGGCGGGUCUCUGGGCCUUACCUGACGCUGAGGAGCGAAAGCAUGGGGAGCGAACAGGAUUAGAUACCCUGGUAGUCCAUGCCGUAAACGUUGGGCGCUAGGUGUGGGGACUUUCCACGGUUUCCGCGCCGUAGCUAACGCAUUAAGCGCCCCGCCUGGGGGAAGUACGGGAA
rnacentral:rRNA from 2 species